UCCUCUCUUUGUCUUUCCUUCGUGUCUUCGGAGUUCUUUCAGGAAGACAAUUAUGGUCUAAGCUACCACAGCUAGUUGUUGUUCGAACCAUGUUCGGUGCACAAAAAGGCCCAUACUGGGCAAGGAACUCUUUUUCACCCACGCCUUACUAUGUAGUGCCUGUGGCAAAAUCCCUCAGCGACAUCUUUAACAAAUAAGUCGCAAAAUGCAAAAUAGAAUAGUUUCAAAUUGAUAAAGAACUUGACAAAAAAAGCCAAGCGUGAGGAAUCGCGUCAUAUUUAGCGAGUAAGCGCCUUAUUCGGAUGCCUUGCGAUGUCUUAAGCGUUACGUUACCACAUUUUUGAGCUCGAAUGACGUCAUAUCGAAUAGCUGUCACAGUCUAAACAUUUGUUUUCAUGGGCUUCAAAUUCGUUUUGAAAACGGACCUGAAUCAUGAAAACACUUAUUUAUCUCAGUUUUCAAAACGUUUUGAGUCUAAAUACGAUCUCAUACAUUUUUAAGGGCGAAUCGAGAUCCAAAUUAAUGUCGCCAUAAAAACGAUUAUGAAGAAAAGACAUUUGCCCAAGAGGAAAUGUGAAAAAGAAAAUAUCAGAAUAAACACAUCAAUCAUUUUUUUUUCAGAGAAAUCAACACAAACUAAUCAAAAAUCAUCAAUUUGAAAAAAAACAUACGUGCAACCUCAUCUUGACGUUCUUUUCUAUAUAUUUUGCAAAUGUAGUAUCGAUCGACCAUAUUUUUGUCAUGUAGGUAUAUUAAUACCAAAUUAACUAAAAGUAAUACAAAAAAAUGUAAUGCUUCUCAACUGAAAAAUAUCAAUAAUUUGACAUCAAUUUACUGUUUAGUGUCUGUGUUGUUGUGUCUUUAUUAGUGGCCUCGGAAAACCGAACCGCUAACAAACGCUUGAAGCGCGUUAUACGGUAACGUUAUGAUUUACUUGAUCGCUCGAAUGACAUGUCUUAGAGACGCUUACAGCCGCUUACUCGCUAAGAUAUGGGCUUUAGUCAUUUCAUCAUACAACAUAAGAUGUCUGUCAAGUGCCAAGCUGCCAAGCUGUCUAAAUGUUUUUUUUUCAGUAAUGACCGAAUCAAGAAAGUCUGUAGAACUCGGUGAAGAAGCUUUAGCCCAAUUUGACUGGCUUCAACUACAAAAAGAUUUGAAUGAGGCUAUGCCACAGGAGAGUAAUCUGGAUAAACUUAUGAGAAAAU